UACGUAGGCAGCGAGCGUUGUUCGGAGUUACUGGGCGUAAAGGGUGUGUAGGCGGUUGUUUAAGUUUGGUGUGAAAUCUCCCGGCUCAACUGGGAGGGUGCGCCGAAUACUGAAUGACUUGGAGUGCGGGAGAGGAGAGUGGAAUUCCUGGUGUAACGGUGAAAUGUGUUGAUAUCAGGAGGAACACCCAUGGCGAAGGCAGUAGACUGGGCAUCUCCUGACGCUGAGGCGCGAAAGCGUGGGUAGCAAACGGG
rnacentral:rRNA from 1 species